UCUCGAGCCCUUGUGUAUUUUCAAAUGUGCUCGUCUUUAAUAUUGAUUUAUCGUGUAUAACGAUGCAGUCGUAUUAAUAUGCAUCUUAGUGACACUUCUACAAUGAGCUUGUCCUUCACUUGUAGGUUAAUAACUUGAUAUUUAGUAUGCCAAACUAUAUUACUUUUUUCAAUGAUUACGUAUGCAUUGUGAUGAAGUGUAUGUACCUCUUAGCUAAUCUUUGCUUCACAAUAUUUACGUUUGAUGUACUAUCAGAAUAGUCAAUGGACUGAUUUCCCUGAGAACAUUAUGUCAAUGGCUAAGAAAGAUCUCCAGAUAAAGAGAUCUGCGAUGGAGGUGGUGUUCAAUGGCAAUAACUAUGUGCUAGAUUUCUUCCAUAUGAUGCUAUUGGACCUGAAGUCAGGGAAAUGGAGGUGAUCAAAUUUGAAGGGUCGCCACAAGUCAAUUUGAUCUCAUUGAAGUGGAAGUGGAUAAUGAAGAGUUUUUGAACUAUUGUUAAAACUUGAAUACAUGAUAUUUGAUUUUGUGAAAUAUAUUCAUUGCUAGAAUAUAUUGAACUAUUAUAAGAGUACUUUUUGAACUAUUGUGUACACAUAUUUAGAAUAUUGCUUUAUAA